ensembl:lncRNA
CCUCUCCCCCACUCAGGUGCAGCUCCUGAAGGAUCAGAUGUCAGCGGGGACCGCAACUUGUAUAGAGGCCCAGGCCCGAGCCCACCAGCUGCUACUACAGAACAGAGACCUGCUCCAGCACCUGGCCCCUCUGGUCACACAGCUCAAAGACCUGGAGAGCAGGGCACCUGGACUGGGACAGGGGAGAGACACACACUGGGAGAGGGGUACAAUGAUCAGGAGUUGUCAUGGACGACCAGGUCCCUGUCACUCAACCUGAAGAACCACUACAGUUUCAACACGGAUCAGCCCAUCACCUCCACCCCCACAGAGCCGUUUCAAAACACCACCUUCUCCGUCGCCCAAGUGGACUGUGCUGAGUCCUACCUCGACCUCCUCAACCUGGAAAACAGGACCAAACCACCAGGCUCUCAAAAUGGGGGGGACAGAGACAGACACCCUCGUCAGAAGAUGAGCCAAUGGAAAACCAGGGAGGAGAAAGAGCUCUAUAGUGUUGUCCAAUGAGAUUGUGCAGUUAGAAUCAAAGAAUUCUACAAACCUGGAUGAAAGCUAGCUGCUCUCCGAUUGGCUUCUCCUGGCUAACGUCUCUGACCCGAAGCAAGCACCAAUUAACCUGGAGCUAACCUAUGCUAGGCCCAUCUCCUGGCUUGCUGAAGAAGUCCAUAAGCCACUCCUUGGGCUACAAUACCUAUUUUUGGCAAUUGGCCUGGACCCCUUUUAUUGCCGAUACGGAGCCCUGCCGAUCCUUCACGACUGGACUACUGACAUAAUCCGCCCGAGGGGCUUUCAACUGUCUCCCCUGUCGCGACGUAGCUGAAUGCCCAUCUGCUAGCCUGCUUGCCGCGGCCCGCUAGCUGUCUAAAGCACACUGAACAGUUAGUUGAACAAGUCCAACAGCACGUUUUUUUGGGCUACUAUACCUAUUAUGCCAAUUGGCAUGGACCCUUCUACUACACGGAGCCCUGCUGAUCCAUCAUGACUGAUCUGCUGACGUAACCGCACAAAGGGGUUGCAACUGACUUCUUCCGUCGUGCCGUCUCUCUAAGGCCCUUCUGCUAACCUGCUAGCCCCGGCCCGCUACCAUGUCUGAAUCGCCAUGUCUCCAGCUCGCCCAGCUACUCACUGGACCCAAUGAUCACUCGGCUACGCAUGCCUCUCCCUAAUGUCAAUAUGCCUUGUCCAUUGCUGUUUUGGUUAGUUAUUAUUGCCUUAUUUCAUUGUAGAGCCUCUAGCCCUGCUCAAUACGCCUUAGCGAACCAUUUAGUUCCACCUCCCACACAUGCCUCCGCAACCUCACCUGGUUGAAAUGAUGUUUCUAGAGUCGAUAUCUCACUCAAUGUAUAAGUUUACCUCCACUGUAUUCACAUCCUACCAUACCUUUCUCUGUACAUUAUUACUUGACUCUAUUCUACCGUGCCCAGAAACCUGCUCCUUUUACUCUCUGUUCCGAACGUAGUAGACGACCAGUUCUUAUUGCUUUUAGCCGUACCCUUAUCCUACUCCUCUGUUCCUCUAGUGAUGUAGAGGUUAACCCAGGCCCUGCAGUGCCUAGCUCCACUCCCAUUCCCCAGGCGCUCUCAUUGGUUGACUUCUGUAACUGUAAAAGCCUUGGUUUCAUGCAUGUUAACAUUAGAAGCCUACUCCCUAAGUUUGUUUUAUUCACUGCUUU